rnacentral:rRNA from 1 species
GGUUAAGCGACUAAGCGUACACGGUGGAUGCCCUGGCAGUCAGAGGCGAUGAAGGACGUGCUAAUCUGCGAUAAGCGUCGGUGAGGUGAUAUGAACCGUUAUAACCGGCGAUUUCCGAAUGGGGAAACCCAGUGUGUUUCGACACACUAUCAUUAACUGAAUCCAUAGGUUAAUGAGGCGAACCGGGGGAACUGAAACAUCUAAGUACCCCGAGGAAAAGAAAUCAACCGAGAUUCCCCCAGUAGCGGCGAGCGAACGGGGAGGAGCCCAGAGCCUGAAUCAGUGUGUGUGUUAGUGGAAGCGUCUGGAAAGGCGCGCGAUACAGGGUGACAGCCCCGUACACAAAAAUGCACAUAUUGUGAGCUCGAUGAGUAGGGCGGGACACGUGGUAUCCUGUCUGAAUAUGGGGGACCAUCCUCCAAGGCUAAAUACUCCUGACUGACCGAUAGUGAACCAGUACCGUGAGGGAAAGGCGAAAAGAACCCCGGCGAGGGGAGUGAAAAAGAACCUGAAACCGUGUACGUACAAGCAGUGGGAGCCUCUUAAUGGGGUGACUGCGUACCUUUUGUAUAAUGGGUCAGCGACUUAUAUUCUGUAGCAAGGUUAACCGAAUAGGGGAGCCGAAGGGAAACCGAGUCUUAACUGGGCGUUAAGUUGCAGGGUAUAGACCCGAAACCCGGUGAUCUAGCCAUGGGCAGGUUGAAGGUUGGGUAACACUAACUGGAGGACCGAACCGACUAAUGUUGAAAAAUUAGCGGAUGACUUGUGGCUGGGGGUGAAAGGCCAAUCAAACCGGGAGAUAGCUGGUUCUCCCCGAAAGCUAUUUAGGUAGCGCCUCGUGAAUUCAUCUCCGGGGUAGAGCACUGUUUCGGCAAGGGGGUCAUCCCGACUUACCAACCCGAUGCAAACUGCGAAUACCGGAGAAUGUUAUCACGGGAGACACACGGCGGGUGCUAACGUCCGUCGUGAAGAGGGAAACAACCCAGACCGCCAGCUAAGGUCCCAAAGUCAUGGUUAAGUGGGAAACGAUGUGGGAAGGCCCAGACAGCCAGGAUGUUGGCUUAGAAGCAGCCAUCAUUUAAAGAAAGCGUAAUAGCUCACUGGUCGAGUCGGCCUGCGCGGAAGAUGUAACGGGGCUAAACCAUGCACCGAAGCUGCGGCAGCGACGCUUAUGCGUUGUUGGGUAGGGGAGCGUUCUGUAAGCCUGUGAAGGUGUGCUGUGAGGCAUGCUGGAGGUAUCAGAAGUGCGAAUGCUGACAUAAGUAACGAUAAAGCGGGUGAAAAGCCCGCUCGCCGGAAGACCAAGGGUUCCUGUCCAACGUUAAUCGGGGCAGGGUGAGUCGACCCCUAAGGCGAGGCCGAAAGGCGUAGUCGAUGGGAAACAGGUUAAUAUUCCUGUACUUGGUGUUACUGCGAAGGGGGGACGGAGAAGGCUAUGUUGGCCGGGCGACGGUUGUCCCGGUUUAAGCGUGUAGGCUGGUUUUCCAGGCAAAUCCGGAAAACCAAGGCUGAGGCGUGAUGACGAGGCACUACGGUGCUGAAGCAACAAAUGCCCUGCUUCCAGGAAAAGCCUCUAAGCAUCAGGUAACAUCAAAUCGUACCCCAAACCGACACAGGUGGUCAGGUAGAGAAUACCAAGGCGCUUGAGAGAACUCGGGUGAAGGAACUAGGCAAAAUGGUGCCGUAACUUCGGGAGAAGGCACGCUGAUAUGUAGGUGAAGCGACUUGCUCGUGGAGCUGAAAUCAGUCGAAGAUACCAGCUGGCUGCAACUGUUUAUUAAAAACACAGCACUGUGCAAACACGAAAGUGGACGUAUACGGUGUGACGCCUGCCCGGUGCCGGAAGGUUAAUUGAUGGGGUUAGCGGUAACGCGAAGCUCUUGAUCGAAGCCCCGGUAAACGGCGGCCGUAACUAUAACGGUCCUAAGGUAGCGAAAUUCCUUGUCGGGUAAGUUCCGACCUGCACGAAUGGCGUAAUGAUGGCCAGGCUGUCUCCACCCGAGACUCAGUGAAAUUGAACUCGCUGUGAAGAUGCAGUGUACCCGCGGCAAGACGGAAAGACCCCGUGAACCUUUACUAUAGCUUGACACUGAACAUUGAGCCUUGAUGUGUAGGAUAGGUGGGAGGCUUUGAAGUGUGGACGCCAGUCUGCAUGGAGCCGACCUUGAAAUACCACCCUUUAAUGUUUGAUGUUCUAACGUUGGCCCGUAAUCCGGGUUGCGGACAGUGUCUGGUGGGUAGUUUGACUGGGGCGGUCUCCUCCUAAAGAGUAACGGAGGAGCACGAAGGUUGGCUAAUCCUGGUCGGACAUCAGGAGGUUAGUGCAAUGGCAUAAGCCAGCUUGACUGCGAGCGUGACGGCGCGAGCAGGUGCGAAAGCAGGUCAUAGUGAUCCGGUGGUUCUGAAUGGAAGGGCCAUCGCUCAACGGAUAAAAGGUACUCCGGGGAUAACAGGCUGAUACCGCCCAAGAGUUCAUAUCGACGGCGGUGUUUGGCACCUCGAUGUCGGCUCAUCACAUCCUGGGGCUGAAGUAGGUCCCAAGGGUAUGGCUGUUCGCCAUUUAAAGUGGUACGCGAGCUGGGUUUAGAACGUCGUGAGACAGUUCGGUCCCUAUCUGCCGUGGGCGCUGGAGAACUGAGGGGGGCUGCUCCUAGUACGAGAGGACCGGAGUGGACGCAUCACUGGUGUUCGGGUUGUCAUGCCAAUGGCACUGCCCGGUAGCUAAAUGCGGAAGAGAUAAGUGCUGAAAGCAUCUAAGCACGAAACUUGCCCCGAGAUGAGUUCUCCCUGAGACUUAGAGUCUCCUGAAGGAACGUUGAAGACGACGACGUUGAUAGGCCGGGUGUGUAAGCGCAGCGAUGCGUUGAGCUAACCGGUACUAAUGAACCGUGAGGCUUAACCUU